UACGUAGGGUGCGAGCGUUAAUCGGAAUUACUGGGCGUAAAGGGUGCGCAGGCGGCCGAGCAUGUCGAGUGUGAAAGCCCCGGGCUUAACCUGGGAACUGCGCUCGAAACUACUUGGCUGGAGUGUGGCAGAGGAAGGUGGAAUUCCACGUGUAGCGGUGAAAUGCGUAGAGAUGUGGAGGAACACCGAUGGCGAAGGCAGCCUUCUGGGCCAACACUGACGCUCAUGCACGAAAGCGUGGGGAGCAAACAGG
rnacentral:rRNA from 1 species